CUCAGGAUGAACGCUAGCGGCAGGCCUAACACAUGCAAGUCGAGGGGUAACAUUGGAGCUUGCUUCAGAUGACGACCGGCGCACGGGUGCGUAACGCGUAUACAAUCUACCUUUUGCUGAGGGAUAGCCCAGAGAAAUUUGGAUUAAUACCUCAUAGUAUACACUACUUUCAUGAGUUAUGUAUUAAAGGUUACGGCAAAAGAUGAGUAUGCGUCCUAUUAGCUAGAUGGUAAGGUAACGGCUUACCAUGGCAACGAUAGGUAGGGGCCCUGAGAGGGGGAUCCCCCACACUGGUACUGAGACACGGACCAGACUCCUACGGGAGGCAGCAGUGAGGAAUAUUGGACAAUGGAGGCAACUCUGAUCCAGCCAUGCCGCGUGCAGGAUGACUGCCCUAUGGGUUGUAAACUGCUUUUAUACAGGAAGAAACAUCUCUACGUGUAGAGACUUGACGGUACUGUAAGAAUAAGGAUCGGCUAACUCCGUGCCAGCAGCCGCGGUAAUACGGAGGAUCCAAGCGUUAUCCGGAAUCAUUGGGUUUAAAGGGUCCGUAGGUGGAUAAUUAAGUCAGAGGUGAAAGUUUGCAGCUCAACUGUAAAAUUGCCUUUGAUACUGGUUAUCUUGAAUCAUUAUGAAGUGGUUAGAAUAUGUAGUGUAGCGGUGAAAUGCAUAGAUAUUACAUAGAAUACCAAUUGCGAAGGCAGAUCACUAAUAAUGUAUUGACACUGAUGGACGAAAGCGUGGGGAGCGAACAGGAUUAGAUACCCUGGUAGUCCACGCCGUAAACGAUGGAUACUAGCUGUUCGGAACUUGUUUCUGAGUGGCUAAGCGAAAGUGAUA
rnacentral:rRNA from 1 species